rnacentral:rRNA from 1 species
CGAGAAAGUUUCUUCGGAAGCAAGUAAAGCGGCGGACGGGUGAGUAACGCGUGAGGAUCUCCCCUUCAGUGAAGGAUACCCUUGAGAAAUUAAGGUUAAUACUGCAUACGUCUACUAUUAACUUAAUAGAGAAAGAUGGCCUCUUGCUGUCGCUGAAAGAUGAACUUGCGUUCUAUUAGCUAGUUGGUGGGGUAAAGGCUCACCAAGGCGAUGAUGGAUAGCCGGCCUGAGAGGGUGAACGGCCACAUUGGAACUGAGAGCGGUCCAGACUCC